rnacentral:rRNA from 1 species
AGUGAACGCUGGCGGCAGGCCUAACACAUGCAAGUCGAACGGAUCCUUCGGGAUUAGUGGCGGACGGGUGAGUAACGCGUGGGAACAUACCCAAAGGUACGGAAUAGCCUCGGGAAACUGGGAGUAAUACCGUAUGUGCUCGAAAGAGGAAAGAUUUAUCGCCUUUGGAUUGGCCCGCGUUGGAUUAGGUAGUUGGUGGGGUAAUGGCCUACCAAGCCGACGAUCCAUAGCUGGUUUGAGAGGAUGAUCAGCCACACUGGGACUGAGACACGGCCCAGACUCCUACGGGAGGCAGCAGUGGGGAAUCUUAGACAAUGGGGGAAACCCUGAUCUAGCCAUGCCGCGUGAUCGAUGAAGGCCUCAGGGUUGUAAAGAUCUUUCAGGUGGGAAGAUAAUGACUGUACCACCAGAAGAAGCCCCGGCUAACUCCGUGCCAGCAGCCGCCGUAA